AAUACAAGGGAUUUUGAGUUUUCGUUUGCACUGUUUGACCACUCGUCUUAUUCAAAAAUUUUUGGAAUUAUUAUUUAUUUUUUUUGACUUACUUUAUUAUCCAAAGUACUUUAAGCACAACUUAUCGUUUUUUAUAUUUGUAUAAUUUUUUUGAAUAAGACGAGUGGUCAAAUAGUGCAAACAAAAACUCAAAAUCCCUUAUA
rfam:Oryza nivara chromosome 4, whole genome shotgun sequence.